CAAAAUACUCGUAUGAAAGCGUAUUUUGUGUGAUUUUAACUGUGUGAAUGCUGUCAGUAUUUGAUUUGAGUGACUCUGCAUGAUUUGUCUGAGUGAGUGGAAAAUGGAAGUUUGAGAGAGAGAAGGCAGUGUGUGUGAGACGACUCAUGGCGUCUGAAAGAGGUUAGAACCUUUAAAAGUGUGUAUGAAAGAAAGGGGUAUGAAAUAUAUUUCUUUUGUGAUGAAAAGUAGGAUGUUUUAAAGUUUGACAGGUUGAGUUUAUUUUUUCUGAUUGAAAACACAUAAGUAUAUACACUUGGGAAGCCCAGUUAAGAGAUUAUUGGGUGACUGAUGCUAUAAAACUGACCUAAAGAAUGGUCCUGUGCGUGGAGAAGUGUUAGUUGUCCUGAUGUUUGGAAGAGCUCUAUUUAAAAGUGUGUGUGAGAGGAAGGUGUGUGUGUGACUGAUGAUGUCAGGGGAGCUCCCAGAGAAAUAGACAGAUGAGUUAAACUCUAAGAAGAUGAAGCGAAUGCAUGUUUUAAGAAAAAGUAAUAAAGUAAUAAAAUUAUAUUAAUUACAGGGUUUAGAAAAGAGACAGACUGAGAGAAAUAAAUACAGGAACUAACAAUUACAUUAAUGAAUUGAAAAUGCACGUACACAAACUGUUACAUGUGAAAUUAUUGUUGGAAAGUUUAAUAAAGAAAGCAGUUUACACUCCUUUAAUUUCCAGAACCAGUGUGUCCCCUAGGCCUGAUAACACUCUUGCCCAGUUGGCUCCUGUAGUAGGCGGGCAUGGAAGGCUGGACAGCCCAUGACGGGUAAGAUCCCACCUCGAAACCCUGGGACAACCUAAGGCAAGGCGCAGUCACGAUUGCUCGAACCUAAGUCCCGGAGUGACCUUGGAGUCACUGGAGGAGACGGGAUUUAACAGGUAAGGCCACUGGGCACAGGCAAGGGGAAAUGUCAUUAACAAGGACCAGUGAUGAACCAGAGAGAGAAAAUACACCCUGUCAAAGGAGUUUGAAACACUGCAAAAGAAACAUUUACAAGAUCACAAAGAUCAUAAAGAAACAUUUAUAGAAAUCACACAUACAAACGGAAAAUGCACUAACCUUACAGAGAUAAGCUCAUGAAGAGUAAUGCAUAGAUAGUGAUUAAAACUUGGCUAAGAACACAAACAUAUGUAAUUAAAUCAGCCUGGUAAUUUCAUGAGGGUUAAAAUGGUGUGAAUGUUGGAGAAAAUACACUUAAAACACACUUGGAUAAAAUAGAGUUGUGGAAUAACUCAAACGAAGCUGUAUGACAAGGGAGUGAGUUAUGGAAAAAAACAAAAACAAAAGAGGAGUAAUUACUUAGGAGUGCUCUUGCACUGAUUGAUCAAAGUAAGUGAUUAGUAUAGAAAGAAAAUGAAAAUAAUUCAAUAAUGUGAUAAGGUUUAAACAUGUAUUCCUCUUGUUAAGUUGGCUGUUGAGCUGUGGGUUUAUGCAAAUUAGCUGGAGUGAGUGAGUGACAAAGACACUUCCUGUGUGCGUGUGUGUCGGAGGCUUUCUGUUCAGUUCAAGAGAGAUCGGG
ensembl:lncRNA